CAAGUUUAUUAUAAAUACCUAUUAUUAUCUCCAUAAACACAUACAAGAACUGCUAAUGUGCUUCUUCAAGGAACAAUAAAGUUGUUAAUAUUUGAUUUGAAGAUAGAAACAUUUAUCCUCUUAAAAUACUUAAAAUCAUUUUUGUGGUUCCUUGUUUUGCUUUGUAGAUUUCAGAAAUGGAGAUUGGCUUAGCAGUUGGUGGUGCAUUUCUUAAUGUUUUCUUUGAUAGGCUUGCUCCUCGGGUUGAGCUGCUCAAGAUGUUUCAGAAGAAUAAGCAUUAUGAUGGGAAUGAAGCAAAUUGAGGAAUUAUCUAUUAGUGAUUGCAUCUCUCUUACCUCCUUGCCUAUUAGCACUCUGCCGAGUACCUUGAAGACAAUAUGGAUACGUCUUUGCCGGAAAUUGAAAUUGGAGGCACCAGACAGUAGUAAAAAAGACGAAAGGCUAACAUCCCCAGACCCCUCUAGGUGGGAAUAUACUGGGUAUGUCGUUGUUGUUCUUGUUUGAAAGGAUUUUGGUAACAAUAUGCUCUUAGCUCAAUUGGUGAAAGGAAAAUCGUGCUAACAUUCUCCCUUGAAAGGACAAAUCACCUCGACUGUGGUCUGCCAUCAAACUGUAAGUGAAGAGAAGUGCUUCUCUUUUGUGUGGAAUUUGACAGUAUUUGAUCAGAAUAUCUGGACUACAAUUUUUUCUUUUUUUUGAUAACUAUGGUGUCUAGGCCAGCUUUCGCGCACCUCAACUAUAUCUACAUGAUACCUGGCACCUCCCAACAUCAACAGAUAUCAACUAACUCUGUCCCCCAAGACUAGGGGGGACAGAGUGGAAUAGGGGGGCUUCCUUGUUAUUAAGGUGUCAAGACGCUCGAAGGUCACAAGUGGAAGCAACUGGUACUUUGAUCAUUCAAUUGACUCCUUUCUGUCAGUUCGUGCUUGUUGUCAUUCUGGCAAAAGCAGUGAUGUAGGUCGGUUUUUCCUACUAUUGGAUUUUCAGAUCGAUUCUUCGCUGCAAUCACUUUGAUCCACCCAAAUUCUCAUGAUUUUGCUGCACAUGAAGCAUAGAACUCUAAUGGAACCCAAAGGUCACAUGAGAAAAAAAGCUGUUUAAUGGAACACACAAAAGAAGAUAUUGUUUUGACGAUGCUCAACGAUUAUUUGGGAAGUGAAAAGAUUCAAAGAUCUCUGCUCAAGUCGAGAAGGGCAAGCUAUUGAAGCUUUGAGUGGUACUUACUCUCUUGUUGGAUGGUACAUCAAGACUAUGGAUGUGAUAACUUGUAUUGUUGGCUUUUGGUUUUGGAUUAGGCUCGCACGACUUUAAAAUGUCGCCACAAGGGUCUAAGGCUUGCUUCUUUAUAUACUAGCAAUCAAUGUCUCUCGUGUGUUUUGUUUUGUUGACGUGACAAUGGCUUUCUUGUUUUACCCCAUCGUCAAAUGGGUCUUCAAGAAACCUGAUUUCCUCUAUAAUGUAAUUACAUAUAGAAUCAACUAUGUCUUGAAUAUCAGAAAUUUCAACAACAAA